rnacentral:rRNA from 1 species
GAUGAACGCUGGCGGCGUGCCUAAUACAUGCAAGUCGAGCGAACAGACGAGGAGCUUGCUCCUCUGACGUUAGCGGCGGACGGGUGAGUAACACGUGGAUAACCUACCUAUAAGACUGGGAUAACUUCGGGAAACCGGAGCUAAUACCGGAUAAUAUAUUGAACCGCAUGGUUUAAUAGUGAAAGACGGUUUUGCUGUCACUUAUAGAUGGAUCCGCGCCGCAUUAGCUAGUUGGUAAGGUAACGGCUUACCAAGGCAACGAUGCGUAGCCGACCUGAGAGGGUGAUCGGCCACACUGGAACUGAGGCACGGUCCAGACUCCUACGGGAGGCAGCAGUAGGGAAUCUUCCGCAAUGGGCGAAAGCCUGACGGAGCAACGCCGCGUGAGUGAUGAAGGUCUUCGGAUUGUAAAACUCUGUUAUUAGGGAAGAACAAAUGUGUAAGUAACUAUGCACGUCUUGACGGUACCUAAUCAGAAAGCCACGGCUAACUACGUG